GACUGUUACAAUGGACUGAUUUAGUUUGAGCAACUAGUUCCUAUUAAACUGCACACUGAAUUCUCUGAUUAUCUCUAAUAG